rnacentral:rRNA from 1 species
AUUGAACGCUGGCGGUAGGCCUAACACAUGCAAGUCGAGCGCGCGGCGGACGGGUGCGUAAUGUCUGGGAAACUGCCUGAUGGCGGGGGAUAACUACUGGAAACGGUAGCUAAUACCGCAUACCAUCAGAUGUGCCCAGAUGGGAUUAGCUCGUAGGUGGGGUAAUGGCUCACCUAGGCGACGAUCCCUAGCUGGUCUGAGAGGAUGAGCAGCCACACUGGAACUGAGACACGGCCCAGACGCCUACGGGAGGCAGCAGUGGGGAAGAUUGCACAAUGGGCGCAAGCCUGAUGCAGCCAUGCCGCGUGUGUGAAGAAGGCCUUCGGGUUGUAAAGCACUUUCAGCGGGGAGGCGUUACCCGCAGAAGAAGCACCGGCUAACUCCGUGCCAGCAGCCGCGGUAAUUC